UGGGGAAUAUUGCACAAUGGGCGCAAGCCUGAUGCAGCCAUGCCUCGCGUGUGAUUAAGGCCUUCGGUUUGUAAAGCACUUUCAGCGGGGUGGAAGGCGGUGAGGUUAAUAACCUCACCGAUUGACGUUACCCGCAGAAGAAGCACCGGCUAACUCCGUGCCAGCAGCCGCGGUAAUACGGAGGGUGCAAGCGUUAAUCGGAAUUACUGGGCGUAAAGCGCACGCAGGCGGUCUGUCAAGUCGGAUGUGAAAUCCCCGGGCUCAACCUGGGAACUGCAUUCGAAACUGGCAGGCUAGAGUCUUGUAGAGGGGGGUAGAAUUCCAGGUGUAGCGGUGAAAUGCGUAGAGAUCUGGAGGAAUACCGGUGGCGAAGGCGGCCCCCUGGAAAAAGACUGACGCUCAGGUGCGAAAGCGUGGGGAGCAAACAGG
rnacentral:rRNA from 1 species